AGGGGGAGGAGUGGCAGGUCUGGCAUGAUGCCCGGCACAGAGGUGUGCCCAAUUGAGAUUUGUGCAUUGAUUAACUUCAUGAAUGAACGAAUGGCCCAUCUGGCAGGAAGUACAGAGAGAGCUCAGUGAUCUCACUGACUGGCAAAGGCACCAGGUGGCGUGGCAGGUGGCCGGAUGGAAAGUUUCCAGAUAAUUCCAACAUGCAGACACAUUUGGAGCCACCUCCUAAGUCCUCGGCCCAUCACAGGCCCCACUUAAUGAAAAUCUGUUGAAUGGACAAUGAGUGAAUGAACAUUUGAGCCUUCACAUCUUCGGCAAACACUUAUGUGUCCUUUUCCCGGGUUUCAGGUUGUGACCUUGCUACCGCGUCAUUCUAUUAAAGAUGAAUCUCGAAAUUCUCCUUUAUUUUUUGGUAGCAGUUUUCUUGUUUCAGUUUUUAUAUCUAGGAAUUUAAUUUCUCUACAUAGGAGAGUCUAGAAAUGUAAACUACUUUUCAAAUAAAAAUCCUUUCCCAACUCAUUUGAAGUGCCGUUUUUAUCACGCAAUGCCACAUUCACGUCAUUCAACACGUAUUUCCGGCACACUGGCUAUGUGCCAAGCACUGCUAGGUGCUGGGGAUACUGGUAUGGACAAGAGGGACACAAUGGCUCAGCUGUCGCCACCCAGACUGAUAAACUGGCUCAUCUGAUCUUGUGGCCUCUACCCAGGAACCGGCUCAGCGCAAGAGGGCGACUUCGACUUCCUAUGAUGUCAUCUCCAGUCCCAGCAACCAGCACUGCUCACUCCCUGGACCCCUAUCCGCCAAAUUAUCCUUCCCUGCCAGAGCCUGCAGACCACAGGAGAGGCAGACAGGGAGCACCCCCACAAACACACA
rnacentral:lncRNA from 10 species